CCUACGGGUGGCAGCAGUAGGGAAUUUUCGGCAAUGGGGGGAACCCUGACCGAGCCACGCCGCGUGAACGAAGAAGUUAUUCGUAAUGUAAAGUUCUUUUAACAGGGAAGAAAGAGAAAUUUGACGGUACCUGCAGAAUAAGCUCCGGCAAACUACGUGCCAGCAGCCGCGGUAAUACGUAGGGAGCGAGCGUUGUCCGGAAUUAUUGGGCGUAAUGGGUGCGUAGAUGGACUAGUAAGUCAUUGGUAAAAAUGCUGGGCUCAACCCAGUAGGGCAAAAGAUACUGCAAAGCUAGAGUAUGACAGAGGCAAGGGGAACGAGAGGUGUAGCGGUGAAAUGCGUAGAUAUAUGGCAGAACACCAAUGGCGAAGGCGGCUUGCUGGGUCGAUACUGACGCUGAGGCACGAAAGCGUGGGGAGCAAACAGGAUUAGAUACCCGGGUAGUC
rnacentral:rRNA from 1 species